rnacentral:rRNA from 1 species
GGGGGCAAGCGUUGUUCGGAAUUACUGGGCGUAAAGGGCGCGUAGGCGGUUUGCUAAGUCGAAUGUGAAAACUCUGGGCUUAACCCAGAGCCUGCAUUCGAUACUGGCAGACUAGAGUUCUGGAGGGGAUAGCGGAAUUCCUGGUGUAGCGGUGAAAUGCGUAGAUAUCGAGAGGAACACCUGCGGCGAAGGCGGCUUCCUGGCCUGUUCUUGACGCUGAGGCGCGAAAGCUAGGGGAGCAAACGGG